rnacentral:rRNA from 1 species
CCGUGGAUUAGGCAUGUAAGUCGAGCGAGAAUCUGUCAAUUGAUCCUUCGGGUGAUUUUGUCAGAGGACAGCGGCAAACGGCGUAGUAAUGCGUAGGUACGUACCCUCAGAUCGGGGAUAGCCACGGGAAACUGUGGGUAAUACCCGAUGAUGUCUGUGGACCAAAGGUGUGAUUCCGUCUGAGGAGCGGCUUACGUGAUAUUAGCUUGUUGGUGGGGUAACGGCCUACCAAGGCGACGAUGUCUCGGGGGUGUGAGAGCAUGGCCCCCACGACCGGAACUGAGACACUGUCCGGACACCUACGGGUGGCUGCAGUCGAGAAUCUUCCGCAAUGGGCGAAAGCCUGACGGAGCGACGCCGCGUGCAGGAUGAAGGCCCUUGGGUUGUAAACUGCUGUCAGAGGGGAUGAAAUCACGGUGGGCUAUNCCUCCGUGUUGACAGAGCCUCAAAGGAAGCACGGGCUAAGUACGUGCCAGCAGCCGCGGUAAC